UGAAUGUGCACAGUGUAUUGUAAUACUAUAUUUAAAUAAAGGUGUCGUAACAACAUGUCGACUGGACAGAUUAUUGUACGUUUUAUCGAACACAUAGAUGUAUUCAUUUAGUUAUUUUGUUGAAGACUAAAUUUGUGUUAUUUAAUUUUAGUUUUACCUGGUUAACUAUAACCCGUAGAAUCGAAUCAAUAUUUAGUAAUGGCCGCGGUGUUCAAUAUAACGCUGUAUCUAUCCUGUUUAUACUCGUUUAUACAAGUUGGUACAGCCUUUAACUGUGACUAUUAUGAAUCCGCUACCAGUUCAAAGUCUAGGUAUUGUCCCUAUGGCUGCUGUAUUACCGGAAGUGACGCCACAUAUUUUGAUGUAUGCUGCACUAACAGUUACAACUCUAAUAUCGGUAUCAUCAUCAUUGUUAGUGUAGUGGCAUCAGUUGUCAUUAUCGUGGUUGCCAUAGUUAUUAUUGUAUGUUGUUGCUGUAGGCGAAAAUCUGCUGACGGUCAGGUUGCUACAACCCCGAACAAAGCUGUUGUAUAUUCUAAUAAUGUUGAACAAAGCACGAUUCAUCCAGGGAUUGGUUAUCCUCCAUCAAUUGAUUUUAACUUUCAACCAUAUCACUCACGAAAAGAUAACUCAUCACUAUCUCCAACUGACUAUUCUGACCCACCACCAUCUUGUGAUACAUUUACCUCCCCUGGACAAACUAAUAAGGGCUUUGAGACUGUGGUUUAAUCUUAAACCGCCCGUGAUCUCCGAAGGUUUUGUUCAUCAACUAUACACAAUGGUAAUAAAGUAUCAUAACACCCCUAUCUGAAUAUGGUGCUAUUGUUUAAUCAGAUUUGUGCGCCGAGUUACGUUCUCCGAGGACAUACAUACUAAACAAGCAAAAAUGCCAAAAACUGAUAUAUAAGGAGAAGAUUUAAUGUGAUUCCGCCAAGUUCAAAAAAUGAACCAAAUUCAAACACAUAUGGCUUGUAUAGGUCAAUGGGAAAUCCUACAGUUCAACUCAUUUCAUUACAUGUUGGUCAUAAAACAGUAUUGUGUAACAUUUCAUUUAGACCAGUUUUAGCAUGGGCAGAGAAUUGUUUAGUGUAUUAACUGUUUAUAGACAGAGAACGGUGUAGCAUAAUUAACUGUAUAGAAAGAGAAAUGCUUAUUAUAUUAACUGUAUAUAGACAGCAAACUGUUUAUUAUAUUAAUUGUGUAUAGACAGAUGAUGGUUUAUUAUAUUAACUGUAUACAGACAGGGAACUGUUUAUUCUAUUUUAAAUAUGUAUAUACAGGUAGCGGUUUAUUAUAUAAACUGUUUAUAGACAGAGAACUGUUUAUUAUAUAAACUGUAUAUAGCCAGAGAACGUCUUAAUAUUUUAAUAUUCUUUAUAUUUCCCGGUGAUUUGCUGUUAUCGGCGCCGUCCACGAUAUAUUUAAUGAAAAGGAAACUUCAAUCACUGUAUGAUUUUAAAGAGAUGGAAAUAUUUAACCUUAUUGAAUCCACACAGUUGAUUUGUAAGUAAUUCACAGAUCCAGCUAUGUGGUUUUUACUACGAGGACUUCUCUUUAAACAUACAUUAUGCAAGAGCUAAAUCUGCCAAUUGCAGGUCUUUCGUUAGGGCUGAAAUGUUAUCUAAAUUAUUAAUUAGAUAUUAAUUAACUUAUCCAGGCCAUAAUCAACUCUCGAUGGCAUCGGAUUUCUCCGAUAUUAAAUAGAUGAGAACAGUUCAGCCAUAUUUUGAUUUAAGCUAAAAAUUGAGGAGCGAGAAAUAGCUUCGGAUAACCAGUACCGUGGUUGAAAUUAUUGCACACGUCUUGUCAAAUCUGCAAAGGCUAAUAUCUUCGCUCGCAAUAGAGUAUUUAUCUAUGUUCGAACUAUCAUAGCAAGAAUGGCUAGCUCUUUAUCGACAUCUUACAAAAUGAUGAUACUAAACAUCAAUCAACAUCAAUCAGGUCAUUUUGGGAUUGAGUCAACUGGUGGGGUUUCGAUUCCCCGGUUGUACGUGCCAACCUCUUGGGUUUUGUUCGGGUCCCCCUGUUUCCUCUCACUGCUAAAGACCCCUACGCGCAAGCGGAUAUUGAAAUAAAAUUGAACCAUGUGUUGGUCUCAAAAUAACCUAGUUUGUGUCGAUUGGACGUUAAACGCCAUUUCUCACCCUCUCUCGGUUUUAAAAACAUUUCUCACCCUCUCUCGGUUUUAAAGACAUUUCUCAAGCUUGUAAACACGACAUGUAAUGUAAAUGACGAUAUUGGACUAAUUCCUGCACUGCUGUGAAAAUUAAUGGCAUAAGACUUUUGGUAGACUAUUAGCCGGCAAUUAAUUUGAAGGAAAGCCUGUUUUUAUAAGUUUAUGUAACUUUUGUACGAUCCAUUUAUUUUCUGGUAAUAAAAUAUGUUUA